rnacentral:rRNA from 1 species
UCAGAGAUGAGAAUGUGCCUUCGGGAACCGUGAGACAGGUGCUGCAUGGCUGUCGUCAGCUCGUGUUGUGAAAUGUUGGGUUAAGUCCCGCAACGAGCGCAACCCUUAUCCUUUGUUGCCAGCGAUUAGGUCGGGAACUCAAAGGAGACUGCCAGUGAUAAACUGGAGGAAGGUGGGGAUGACGUCAAGUCAUCAUGGCCCUUACGACCAGGGCUACACACGUGCUACAAUGGCGCAUACAAAGAGAAGCGACCUCGCGAGAGCAAGCGGACCUCAUAAAGUGCGUCGUAGUCCGGAUUGGAGUCUGCAACUCGACUCCAUGAAGUCGGAAUCGCUAGUAAUCGUGGAUCAGAAUGCCACGGUGAAUACGUUCCCGGGCCUUGUACACACCGCCCGUCACACCAUGGGAGUGGGUUGCAAAAGAAGUAGGUAGCUUAACCUUCGGGAGGGCGCUUACCACUUUGUGAUUCAUGACUGGGGUGAAGUCGUAACAAGGUAACCGUAGGGGAACCUGCGGUUGGAUCACCUCCUUACCUUAAAGAAGC